AGUGAACGCUGGCGGUAGGCCUAACACAUGCGAGUCGAACGGCAGCACAGUAAGAGCUUGCUCUUACGGGUGGCGAGUGGCGGACGGGUGAGGAAUACAUCGGCAUCCACUCUUUCGCGGGGGAUAACGUCGGGAAAAUUCCGCUAAUACCCCAUACGACCUCCGGGAGAAAGCCGGGGAUCUUCGGACCUUGCGCGAUUGAAUGAGCCGAUGUCGGAUUAGCUAGUUGGAGGGGUAAAGGCCCACCAAGGCGACGAUCCGUAGCUGGUGGGAGAGGAUGGGCAGCCACACUAGAACGGAGACACGGUCCAGACUCCUACGGGAGGCGGCGGAGGGGAAUAUUAGACAAUGGGCUGAAGCCUGGUCCAGCCAUGCCGAGUGGGGGGAGAAAGCCUUCGGGUUGGAAAGCUCUUUUGUUGGGAUAGAAAAGCAGCGGGUUAAUAGCGCGGUGUUCUGACGGUACCCAAAGAAUAAGCACCGGCUAACUUCGUG
rnacentral:rRNA from 1 species